rnacentral:rRNA from 1 species
UGCGGCAGAGGAAGGGGUGUAGCAGCACUUAGGGGUUAAGGGUUGAGUGCGCGAGGCUGCUGGUUUGGGAUUGGAGCCUAGGGGCCUUCGUGCGGGUUAAGGGGUUGGGAGGGGAGUCUAAGCCGUACGGUCGGGGGGCUUUGAGGUCGGGCACUGGAGCGGCCUCUGCUACCGGAGCGCCGGAGACGUAGGGGCGGCCUAAGCCGGGUAGCGGCGCCGGAGGGACCACGAGAAGGAGGAGAAGGAGAUGUGGGCGAGCCCACCCCUGAGAGGCGCCGAGGGCCCGAGGCUAAGCGCGAGCGAGGUGGCGUCCAAGGAGAGGCCACGGCUAGGGCGGUCGGGGCGGCGCAGGUCUCCGCCCUUGGAAAGCCUCCAGUGGCCCCACUUGCCGCUCGUCGACCUCUUGGGGAGGUGGCGCACGCGGCCGUAUAGCGCGGUGCUCCCAAAGCCCAGGGUCACGCUCAAGGAGGCCCGAGUGGGCGUCACGUCGAGGCCGCCUAAGCAGCUGAUAGACCUGAAGAAGAUGACGUCCACGCUCUCUAAGUCCGACGAACCUAUACGGCACGAACGUCACACGGAUCGCCGCGACAAGAUGUACGAGCCAUUGUGCCGACGCCUGAUGAAGACGACGUCGGAGCUCUUCUACAGCCGCGAGGACGCCGAGGGUGGCUGACACCGGCCACAGUGCGACGAGGGGAAACCAUUACCACGAGGACUACACAAACGGUCAUAACGUCGCAAAUACCCCAGACCGCGGCCCCUACACCCCGACUUGUCGCACGACCCGCCUCGCCACAAACAAUGAACACAACAACAACCCCGUCACAGCAACUGGCAACGUCUCUUCUUACACGUCUAACUAACCUCCACGAAACACUCCCUACAACCUAAGAAGGACUAGUGGAACCACCGUGACAGCUAAUACAACUAACAGCCCUUCCACUGGCAAACCCCUCGAUACGACAAACACAGCUAAAUACACCAAAUACGUAAACACCAACGACGUUUACUCAAUAAUUCCUUCGUGCGUGCCUACGACUUCAAACUACAUCAGUGUGGUAACGAAGGACACUCCCCUUCAUAGAAGAGUGUGCCUGAUCUCCUCCUACUAAGACACAUGUCAAGUGAAGAACUCCUCCUGUGUUCACUACUCCGCCGGGUCCAUUUGUGUAGUAACGGCGUCACCUACACCCGAAGAGUACACCGAUAGAUGAGUUUAGUCCCCUCUCUACCAAGUGGACUGUCCGGAAACACCCCAACCUUACUCCUUCCGUCUCACCUAUGGAGGUGCGAAUUGAUGAGGUUUGACAAAGACAAAAACCUCGAUGGGAACUGUUAUGGUUCUUUCAACUGCUAAGGUUAUCAACUCCUUCUGGCGACCAGUGUUCUUAUACGACAACGAUCACGACCGAACCGUGGAGAUGAGAAUCGUAAAGACACCUUGUCGGUCCUACCUCAUAGGUGCCCACGGUCGCAUCGUCGUAUACACUAUCGACCACAAAAACCCUAACGCUAACGACAAGAACGAAAAUGUAAGUGGUCAGGGCUGGCGGGAGGUUCCUCUAUGAAUGAGGGUACCCACAAACCUCCCAAACACUACUCGUAGCAAACCAAGAUGUAGUAACGGUUACUCGACCAACGUGACAACCAACGUAAACCUCACUAUGAACCUUAAUUAGGCAGUUAGGAACCCAAUUGCCACAAUCGUACCCCGUUAAGCUACCCGCUGAACUACAGUUUACACCGGAACCGUUACUUACCUCCUCUGCCACACGUCUAACGAUACAGACCGACAAUACGACCCGGAUACAAGUUAUGUGAACGGCCGAAUCCUUAUAGCUACGACGAACCUCGAACCAGCUGUCGUGGGUUGAGAAUACAAGAAGGCGUCCUGGCGAGAGAAUAAAUGUGCUACUCGAAGGACCAACGACCUAACUAGACCCGUGAACAAUGCGACGGUGCCUCGCCAUACGCCGGAUUGUUCUGCGAACCCCAACCGGAGUAACAAGAGAUGAGUCAAAAGGAAAAGUAAUCUCAUUCGUCACGAUACCCCUAUAACGGUGAGGGCCCGAACUUAAUCAACAAACACAGAUAACAUGUACUGACAGGACAUAUGUCUACUUUACCCCAACAUGUAACAAGGAGACAAGACAACAAUACGGAGUUUAAACCAACAUACGGACAGUCCGAAAGUCUCUGUUAUUUCGGUCUCGUACGGACGUUGACCAGAUGAAUAAACAUUCGAAUUAGUGGAAAGUACGACUAUCGUUAUUAGAUUUGAAGACGACACAGUUGAAUAGAUAUUCCAUGUUUUUUUCCAUGAGGUAAAGAC